GACGAACGCUGGCGGCGUGCUUAACACAUGCAAGUCGAGCGGUAAGGCUCCUUCGGGAGUACACGAGCGGCGAACGGGUGAGUAACACGUGAGUAAUCUGCCCUUCACUUCGGGAUAACCGCCGGAAACGGUGGCUAAUACCGGAUACGACGCACUCUCGCAUGGGAUGUGCGUGGAAAGUCUUCUCGGUGAAGGAUGUGCUCGCGGCCUAUCAGCUUGUUGGUGAGGUAACGGCUCACCAAGGCUUCGACGGGUAGCCGGCCUGAGAGGGUGACCGGCAACACUGGAACUGAGACACGGCCCAGACUCCUACGGGAGGCAGCAGUGGGGAAUAUUGGACAAUGGGCGGAAGCCUGAUCCAGCAACGCCGCGUGAGGGAUGACGGCCUUCGGGUUGUAAACCUCUUUCAGCACAGACGAAGCCGACCCUACGUGUGGGGUGGGUGACGGUAUGUGCAGAAGAAGCACCGGCCAACUACGUGCCAGCCGCCGCCGUAAUAC
rnacentral:rRNA from 1 species